GGUUCCCGUGCUCUUGCCUGUGUGUGGGGACCCGAAAGCCAGGCUGGUGGCCGAGGAUGGCGAGCACAGCCCCAGCCCCUCGGCCUAGCGGGAGCUUCACGGGACGGUGCUCCCCCCACACCGUGGUGUUGCUUCUGUGGCCCCCUUCAGGGCCCACAGAGGGAAGGGGCCUGGCUCUCCCACGGGGCCUCUGUAAUAUUUAACCAUAAACCAAGGCUGCGGGGAACCCCCAGUUUGCAGUAAACUUCCAUUUCUCUCCACUGGAUGCGCAGGACUCCACUCAGCCAGGGAGGAUGUGUUUAUUUAAA
rnacentral:lncRNA from 1 species